rnacentral:rRNA from 1 species
GACGAACGCUGGCGGCGUGCCUAAUACAUGCAAGUCGAGCGGAUCUUCAUUAGCUUGCUUUUGAAGAUCAGCGGCGGACGGGUGAGUAACACGUGGGCAACCUGCCUGUAAGACUGGGAUAACUUCGGGAAACCGGAGCUAAUACCGGAUAAUCCUUUUCCUCUCAUGAGGAAAAGUUGAAAGACGGUUUCGGCUGUCACUUACAGAUGGGCCCGCGGCGCAUUAGCUAGUUGGUGAGGUAACGGCUCACCAAGGCGACGAUGCGUAGCCGACCUGGGCGGGUGAUCGGCCACACUGGGACUGAGACACGGCCCAGACUCCUACGGGAGGCAGCAGUGGGGAAUCUUCCGUAAUGGACGAAAGUCUGACGGAGCAACGCCGCGUGAGCGAUGAAGGCCUUCGGGUCGUAAAGCUCUGUUGUCAGGGAAGAACAAGUACCGGAGUAACUGCCGGUACCUUGACGGUACCUGACCAGAAAGCCACGGCUAACUACGUGCCAGCAGCCGCCGUAA